UACGUAGGGUGCGAGCGUUGUCCGGAAUUAUUGGGCGUAAAGAGCUCGUAGGCGGUCUGUCGCGUCGAUCGUGAAAACUUGGGGCUUAACCCUGAGCUUGCGGUCGAUACGGGCAUGACUGGAGUUCGGCAGGGGAGACUGGAAUUCCUGGUGUAGCGGUGAAAUGCGCAGAUAUCAGGAGGAACACCGGUGGCGAAGGCGGGUCUCUGGGCCGAUACUGACGCUGAUGUGCGAAAGCCAGGGGAGCGAACGGG
rnacentral:rRNA from 1 species